AGAGCAGGAGGCGUGGUCGCCCGGCUUGACUGCGUCUGAAGCUGGAUAUGCGGAAACCAUUUGCCGGCCGAACAACUACUGAGCGGCAUGCAAAGUUUCGGGCUUCAGAACGCAGCUUUAUCCGGGAGGAAAGUCCGAGCUCAGCAGGGCAAGGCGGUCGUCAGCAGCGACUGGGGGUAACCCCAAGGAAAGUGCCACAGAAAGGGAAACCGUCACGACAUGGGUCGGGAUAAGGGUGAAAAGGUAAGGUAAGAGCUUACCAGAUGGGAUGGUGAUAUCCCAUGCUUGGAAAACCCCGCCUUGAGCAAGGUCGAAUAGGUUCCGCCUCGAGAAGUGCCCCUUCGAAUCUCUGUCAGCCACGUGCUGAUAGGGAGGCGGAACGGGUAUAGACCGCACGAGUCUGAUAGCAAUAUCAGACCACAGAUGAAUGGCCACGGAAACAGAACUCGGCUUACAGCCUGCUCUGACA
rnacentral:RNase_P_RNA from 2 species